rnacentral:rRNA from 1 species
UACGGAGGGGGCUAGCGUUGUUCGGAAUUACUGGGCGUAAAGCGCACGUAGGCGGCUUUGUAAGUUAGAGGUGAAAGCCCGGGGCUCAACUCCGGAAUUGCCUUUAAGACUGCAUCGCUAGAAUUGUGGAGAGGUAAGUGGAAUUCCGAGUGUAGAGGUGAAAUUCGUAGAUAUUCGGAAGAACACCAGUGGCGAAGGCGGAUCUCUGGGCCUGUCCUGACGCUGAGGCGCGAAAGCUAGGGGAGCGAACAGG